rnacentral:rRNA from 1 species
CAUAUCAAUAAGCGGAGGAAAAGAAACCAACAGGGAUUGCCUCAGUAACGGCGAGUGAAGCGGCAAGAGCUCAAAUUUGAAAGCUGGCUCCUUCGGGGUCCGCAUUGUAAUUUGCAGAGGAUGCUUCGGGAGCGGCCCCCAUCUAAGUGCCCUGGAACGGGCCGUCAUAGAGGGUGAGAAUCCCGUCUGGGAUGGGGUGCCCGCGCCCGUGUGAAGCUCCUUCGACGAGUCGAGUUGUUUGGGAAUGCAGCUCUAAAUGGGUGGUAAAUUUCAUCUAAAGCUAAAUACUGGCCGGAGACCGAUAGCGCACAAGUAGAGUGAUCGAAAGAUGAAAAGCACUUUGAAAAGAGAGUUAAACAGCACGUGAAAUUGUUGAAAGGGAAGCGCUUGCGACCAGACUCGCUCGCGGGGUUCAGCCGGCCUUCGGGCCGGUGUACUUCCCCGCGGGCGGGCCAGCGUCGGUUUGGGCGGCCGGUCAAAGGCCCUCGGAAUGUAACGCCCCCCGGGGCGUCUUAUAGCCGAGGGUGCCAUGCGGCCAGCCCGGACCGAGGAACGCGCUUCGGCUCGGACGCUGGCAUAAUGGUCGUAAGCGACC